UAACGACUGAUGAACAGCUUCUUUAACUGUACACCAGUCAUCAUCAUCCAGCUGUUGUGGAGUAACAUCUGUCAUAUGUUCGACAUAACUGAUUUCCACUAAAAUAUAACAAGAAAAUCACAUACUGUAUAAUGUAAAUAUGACAGAUUUUACCCUCAGAUAAAGCACACGCAGACGUUAAGUCCAGCACAUUGCUGAAUAUCAAUGAGUGAGGGGGGAAAACAGGCGUUAAUAAAAGGAUGAUUGUUGCCGCUGGCUGGAGUAGGCAGAGGCAUGGAUGGAAUUGUGCCCCUAUUUCAAUGCAUCUAUUGCACAUCAGCUGUAAGGGGUUGUAGCACAUUCCCAAGGGCUAAUUCUCUGGAUUUGUCUAUAGGAUCCAGUGGACAUAAAGAGCAGCGCAGAGCCUGAGCCAGAGCCGGAGCCGGAGGCAGCAGCUCUCGAACCCAGUCCUGUGGAAGCCGCAGAAGAAAACAACCCGUCAGAGGAGGUCAAAGCAACAGAAAAGACAGUUAUGAACUUUUUCAAAACAUUUGUCACUCCGACCAAAACAAGCAAAGAAGCCAAAGCCACUCCAGAUGCUUCAAAAGAGCAGGUACAGGAAGCACCCAAGGCACCUCCUCCUCCUCCC